rnacentral:rRNA from 1 species
GACGAACGCUGGCGGCGUGCCUAAUACAUGCAAGUUGAGCGCUGAAGGUUGGUACUUGUACCAACUGGAUGAGCAGCGAACGGGUGAGUAACGCGUGGGGAAUCUGCCUUUGAGCGGGGGACAACAUUUGGAAACGAAUGCUAAUACCGCAUAAAAACUUUAAACACAAGUUUUAAGUUUGAAAGAUGCAAUUGCAUCACUCAAAGAUGAUCCCGCGUUGUAUUAGCUAGUUGGUGAGGUAAAGGCUCACCAAGGCGAUGAUACAUAGCCGACCUGAGAGGGUGGUCGGCCACACUGGGACUGAGACACGGCCCAAACGCCUACGGGAGGCAGCAGGAGGGAAUCUUCGGCCAUGGACGAAAGUCUGACCGAGCAACGCCGCGUGAGUGAAGAAGGUUGUCGGAUCGUAAAACUCGGUUGGUAGGGAAGAACGUUGGUGAGAGUGGAAAGCUCAUCAAGUGACGGUAACUACCCAGAAAGGGACGGCUAACUACGUG